rnacentral:rRNA from 1 species
AGACCCGAAACCCGGUGAUCUAGCCAUGGGCAGGUUGAAGGUUGGGUAACACUAACUGGAGGACCGAACCGACUAAUGUUGAAAAAUUAGCGGAUGACCUGUGGCUGGGGGUGAAAGGCCAAUCAAACCGGGAGAUAGCUGGUUCUCCCCGAAAGCUAUUUAGGUAGCGCCUCGUGAAUUCAUCUCCGGGGGUAGAGCACUGUUUCGGCUAGGGGGCCAUCCCGGCUUACCAACCCGAUGCAAACUGCGAAUACCGGAGAAUGUUAUCACGGGAGACACACGGCGGGUGCUAACGUCCGUCGUGAAGAGGGAAACAACCCAGACCGCCAGCUAAGGUCCCAAAGUCAUGGUUAAGUGGGAAACGAUGUGGGAAGGCCCAGACAGCCAGGAUGUUGGCUUAGAAGCAGCCAUCAUUUAAAGAAAGCGUAAUAGCUCACUGGUCGAGUCGGCCUGCGCGGAAGAUGUAACGGGGCUAAACCAUGCACCGAAGCUGCGGCAGCGAACGUAUCACCCAAGACAACUUUACGGAGUUGACGAUUGACGGAGCGAAGCGACGUCAAAGCGUUCAUUAAAGUCGAGUUGGCUUAGGGAUACGUUCGUUGGGUAGGGGAGCGUUCUGUAAGCCUGUGAAGGUGUGUCGUGAGGCAUGCUGGAGGUAUCAGAAGUGCGAAUGCUGACAUAAGUAACGAUAAAGCGGGUGAAAAGCCCGCUCGCCGGAAGACCAAGGGUUCCUGUCCAACGUUAAUCGGGGCAGGGUGAGUCGACCCCUAAGGCGAGGCCGAAAGGCGUAGUCGAUGGGAAACGGGUUAAUAUUCCCGUACUUGGUGUUACUGCGAAGGGGGGACGGAGAAGGCUAUGUUGGCCGGGCGACGGUUGUCCCGGUUUAAGCGUGUAGGUGUGUGUUCCAGGUAAAUCCGGUUCACUUUAACACUGAGGCGUGACGACGAGGCACUACGGUGCUGAAGCAACAAAUGCCCUGCUUCCAGGAAAAGCCUCUAAGCAUCAGGUAACAUCAAAUCGUACCCCAAACCGACACAGGUGGUCAGGUAGAGAAUACCAAGGCGCUUGAGAGAACUCGGGUGAAGGAACUAGGCAAAAUGGUGCCGUAACUUCGGGAGAAGGCACGCUGACACGUAGGUG